GAGGGUGUAGCUCCAAUGGUAGAGUGUGUGCUUAGCAUGCAUAAUGUCCUGGCUUCAAUCCCCAGUACCUACA
rnacentral:tRNA from 1 species